UACGGAGGAUGCGAGCGUUAUCCGGAUUUAUUGGGUUUAAAGGGUGCGUAGGCGGGCUUUUAAGUCAGCGGUAAAAAUUCGGGGCUCAACCCCGUCCGGCCGUUGAAACUGGGGGUCUUGAGUGGGCGAGAAGAAGGCGGAAUGCGUGGUGUAGCGGUGAAAUGCAUAGAUAUCACGCAGAACCCCGAUUGCGAAGGCAGCCUUCCGGCGCCCUACUGACGCUGGGGCACGAAAGUGCGGGGAUCGAACAGG
rnacentral:rRNA from 1 species